rnacentral:rRNA from 1 species
UACAGAGGUCUCAAGCGUUGUUCGGAUUCAUUGGGCGUAAAGGGUGCGUAGGCGGCGUGGUAAGUCGGGUGUGAAAUCUCGGAGCUUAACUCCGAAACUGCAUUCGAUACUGCCGUGCUUGAGGACUGGAGAGGAGACUGGAAUUUACGGUGUAGCGGUGAAAUGCGUUGAUAUCCGAAGGAACGCCGGUGGCGAAAGCGACGGACUGGACCUCUUCUGACGCUGAGGCGCGAAAGCCAGGGGAGCAAAGCGGG